rnacentral:lncRNA from 10 species
UCAGAAUCUGGUAGAGCUCCUGGAGCAACCUGCAUGAUGUCACUGCUAUAGCACUAUGAUUUUCAUAUUACAUACUCUUGAGACACUUUCCAGAGUAUAUAUGGCUAUGUUAUAGCAUGCUUUGAGAACUAGAUUAAGUAAUUCCUGCAAGGCAAACCAAGUGAUGAUGAGCUCUCUCAGCUUCUGUUUGUCUGAUAAACUUUCUAUUCUCUCUCACUUCUGAAGGAAAGCUUUGCCAGGGUUUCAUUCAUUUUAAAGCUAACAGAAAAACAACAGAUUUUUAUAAUUAAGUUCCUGAGAAACCAUGAUAAAUACAGCAUUACACAUACUGUCGAUGAUAUUUUGGAUUUUGUAAGACACCAGAGAUCAAAACAUGCCAAAUUGGACUUCUUGUCAUUGUCUAUACAAACAAAACUCACAGACAUCAAAGCCACUAUGACCAUGCUGCUGAUGCAAGGACUGGUGUGUGCAAGAAAGUUUGUAUUUGGAACCAUCUCUAUCUUACACUUUUCAAAGUAAGAUAACCUAGGUACUUCCUACUUAAAACUCACAUGUCAAUAUGUUUUUGUGCUUCUCAAAACCUUCCUGGGCUAAGGCACAUGGAGCAAAUGUUAAUUUGCUCAAGAGUCCUGUCCUUUGCCUGUGUUUGUUACCAUUAAACUAUGACAUGGGCAUCAUGGCUUCUCCUGAAGUCAUUGUUUAUGCUUUCAUCAUAUUAUUCUCCCUUGCAAAUGCUAUUGUUCCUGAGUAUAAUAAAUCACCGGAUUUCCUUAUCGCAAGCUUGUUUGCCUUUCUUACUUGCUUUCUCUGUUAUCUAAUAUUUUAGUAAUAAUAACAACUACUUUCCAUUGAGUAGUUCAUUUGUGUCAGGCCCUAAGCUAAACACUUUAUGUUCAUAAUGAUAUUGAAGCAACAUUACAAACUUAUAAAUCCUGUUAACAACCCCAUAUUUUAGAUAAAGAAAAGAGGCUCAGAG